GCAAGUCGAACGGAAGUCGUUGUAAUGAAGUGGACAUGAACAGAGAACUUGUUCGAAGGAAUUGAAAAUUGACUUACAACAAUGGCUUUAGUGGCGGACUGGUGAGUAACACGCAAGUAACCUGCCUAUCAGAGGGGAACAACAGUUAGAAAUGACUGCUAAUACCGCAUAUGCUGUGAGUAACGCAUGUUACAAACAGGAAAGGAGCAAUCCGCUGAUAGAUGGACUUACGUCUGAUUAGAUAGUUGGUGGGGUAACGGCCUACCAAGUCAACGAUCAGUAGCCGAACUGAGAGGUUGAACGGCCACAUUGGGACUGAGAUACGGCCCAGACUCCUACGGGAGGCAGCAGUCGGGAAUAUUGCGCAAUGGAGGAAACUCUGACGCAGUGACGCCGCGUGCAGGAAGAAGGUUUUCGGAUUGUAAACUGCUUUAGACAGGGAAGAAACAAGACAGUACCUGUAGAAUAAGCUCCGGCUAACUACGUGCC
rnacentral:rRNA from 1 species